ensembl:lncRNA
CCAGAGUCCCGUCCUCUCCUGCUGCCUCUGCUGGUGUCUGCUCUGACUGUCAGUCUGGUCGUCAUUCUAACACUGAUGCUGGCCCUGAUCAGAGUCACAAAGAGAACAUUUGCUGCAGAGGUGAUAUCACCACAGCACAUCAGCCAAAUGAUUCAUUCUGAAGAGGACCCUGAGGCUGUGAACUACGUGGCCCUGGACUUCACAGCACACAGGCCAAGAGCAGGUGGACAGCACGGCAAUGCAGAGAAGGGCACUGUAUACUCCCCUCUCAGACACACAAAUGCACGCACACACACAAACACACAAACACACACACACACACAUAAGCCGUCCUGAGUAGGAUGAAAAGCCAGCAACACAG